GGACUCGAUCCCAGGACCCUGAGAUCAUGACCUGAGUUGAAGAGGUUCAGGAAGUAACAGAGUAAGAACACGGUGGCAUGGUGGGUUCCUUGUUCCUGUUUCUCAGACCCUGCCAUCUGCCAGCUUUUGAGCUAUGAGCCAAGUUUUGGUUCCAGCAAGAAAGUAUGUUCUCACCCCAGCUUACUCACGUGUAGAUAUAACAUGCCUACCUUGUACAGGUAAGGGCAGGAAAUUUUCUCUUCGUCCCUUCUAGGUUCUUUGGCUGGUCUAAUAACUAAGUUGACCUAAGAUUAACAAGAGAAAAGCAAAUUUAAUUUUGUACAUACAAGAAUCCCAAAGAUACGACCAGUCAUCUUUAAAGCCCCUGAAUGCGGGGCACCUGGUGGCUCGGUCAGCUGUGUCUCACUCUUGCUCCAUCCCCCCAAAUAAACAAAAAAUCUUAAAAAAGAAAAAAAAAAAAAAAGCAAAGCAAAGCAAAAGCCCUUCAGUGAAAGAUUAAGCGUAAAGGGAAACGAGAAUCCUGGUGAAUCUUGUCAUGUGUGACAGGAAGCACAAACUACAACUUCUAAUGCGGAAAGAACGCGAGGCUUGACUACAAAUGGAAUGAAAUGAAAGUCACCAAAGCAAACAUGCUGGUGUUUUGCAGCACAAGCAGAUCUACAGAUAAGACUUCUGACCCUGACCAGAAAACGGGCACCCUGGGCGCCAAGGUUCUCCAACAUGAAGAGGCAGGUCUGAGGGUCCUGUCUCUCCGGGAGCCCGAGCCUCGCACAGGCGAACGGGCGCGGGAGGGCGGACUCGGGCUCGCUGCCUCCGGGGCCGGUCAGGGCGGUCCGUAGCCGCCGCCUUCAUCUCGGAAUUGUUCCUAAACCUCACCAGCGGCCCCAGAGAAGCGAGAGACGGGCGCUGUGGACGUCGCCCUUGGCCGCGGUCCCCGCCUCAGGCCACGCAGCGCCCCUCACCGCCGCCACACAACCCUCGCUAGCUGGGUAGCAACCACCGGCGGAAGUCGGCCGCUUCCAGCCUCUCGGGGAGAAGCGCCGGAGGGAACCUCCGCACGGCCUCCGAGGGGCGGCCACCUGGAGCACGGCGCCGCUUCCGGCUGCUCUGGGAGACGCUCCUCUCGGGGGUGGCAUCGCGCUGUCUGAGGUAACCUUUGCGCGGCCUCCGAGGGGCGGCCCCCGGGGGGCACCGCGCCGCUUCCGGCCUCUCUGACCGACGCUCCUCUCGGUGUGGCCGCCGAGGGGCGGCGCUGCUGUCUUGAGUUGCGAGUCGUUCACCUUCUGAAAGGCUAACGACGUGCGUGCGAACCAAGUCCCCCCGCUUUAAAGUUGUGAGGCAGGAGGGCCGUUUCGGCGUUACGUCACGUGGUGAUACUGUUAGGGACGUAAUCCAGGUUAACGGUUAGGCGCGAGGCCCGGAACAGCGCGCGUUUGAAUCCGGGGUGCAGCAUUUGCUGUCCAUGUGUUUCGAGCAGGACAGUCACAGCUCGGGUUUCACCGCAACACGGGGCGUAUAGUCAGCGGCGGGAACGGUCACGACGCAGGAAGCAUUAGCGCGGUACGUGUGGAACAGGAAGCUACGGUUCAGCACCAGCCACACACGUGGGGCUACUUCGAUGCUAUCAGGACAUGUUUAGUUCAAGCCAAUGACACACAGGGAAAAGUUCUCUACUUCUCAUGCGGUGAUAAAGGACCAUGUAUGGUAAUUGAGGCAACUCUGAGAAGGGACAUUCACAGCCCCACUCCUCCAGCCACGAACUGUACAUGCUACUGCCCCUUACCGCCAUCCUGCAGAAGGGAUGCUGAGGAACCACAAAGGGCCUUGGGGUCCACUGGCUGCAACUGGACACUCAGUGCCGAUCCAGGAGGCACCACCUUCUUCCCGAGUAUCUCUUGUUCGUGUGCAUGGACUGGAACCUGAGAAAAAUAAAGUACAUUUGGGCUUGUGAGAGAAUCCCUGUUGGGAUUUGAAUAUCUUCCAAAAACAAAGAGAACCCGCUGUAGGAAUACAAAACUGCAGGACCGAUGAAGUCUGACUCAAAUGUAAAAUGUGGCACAGCAUGAAAUGCAGUGGAAAGGAGACAGAAAGACACAAUGCUCUAACAGCCCCUGCAGGUCUCCCUGGGUGCUCAGUCUCAGGCCCUUUCCUCCCACUGUGGGACUCUGUCCAUGUGGGGUUCUUAGAUCUCCCAUUUCCUGUGUACCUGGACUACUGCUUCAUCAGCACCUCUCUCCAAAUCUUCCAGUAGAGUGACCACCUCCUCUCCAUUCUCUGGGCCAUGUUCUUGUACCCAGGUCUGCAGCUCCUCAGGCAGGAUGGUCAGGAACUGCUCCAGCACCAGCAGCUCGAGGAUCUGCUCCUUGCUGUGUGUCUCGGGCUGCAGCCACUGAUGGCAGAGCUCCCGCAGCCGGCUCAGGGCCUCACGGGGCCCAGCCGAAUCCUGGUAGCAGAACUGCCUGAAAAGCUGUCGGCAGAGCUCCUGCCUAAAGGGGUCGUCGCUUCUCUGGAGGGAAGUGUCCUGCCUCCAGACAAAAUCUUCCUCUUCUAUCUUCACUAUCAGAAGCCCUUCAUGCUCCUGAAGGUUCUGAGCUGUAGCUUUCUUUGAUUCUGUCGUCAUUUUGGGAUGAAAUGUAUUACCAGGAAACCCACUUCUGCUUUGUGAAGCGUCCUACUUAGUUUCAAGGGCUCUUCUAAGGGAUAAAAAAGAACUAUUACUAUCUAUGAAGAUGAAAGAUCAUAUCAUAGAAAUAGUCAUUUUCCAUUGCCCAGAAGUGUACUUGGCAUUUACUCUAUGUAAAAGCACUGAAAUACUUUGUGGAAUAAAAUUGUUACAUAAUUUCUA